rnacentral:lncRNA from 1 species
UGGGGGUGGGGGUGGGGGAGAAGAAAUCAAAUGUAAGGAGCGCUAAUUCUGGGUUCUGCAGGGUUUGGGGGAUUGGAAAAAAAGGGAGGACCUGUGGGGCAAUAAGGGAGAAAGAAAUCGGGUGGGGAGGGGGAUUCUGGUUUCUACAGGUGCGGGGUGGGAUGAGUGUUAGAGUUUUGGUGAAGAACAAAUGAAGAAAGCAAAAAAUACAAAGAGAAUCAAAUCGUGAGGAAAAUUUUCAUUUCCAUGCUCUGAUAAAUUGAUCAAGCUCUAUGUGAGCUAUAUGACCGUUAAAGAGAAUAGCUAGAUACUCUUACAUCACUUUGUAUCACAGCCCUUCAUCUAAAACUGCUCUCUAAAAACGUUACACAUGGCUUGUACAGCCUUUCACUACUAAAGCCUAACACUUGUCAUUUUUAGUGACUAAGUGAAUACACCAUUAGCUAAAUAGGCUUAAUUACAUUUUCUAUCAGCUCACUACAUAAAUUUCAACAAGGAGGGGGGAGUGGUAUGUAUGUGGUUGCGAAAUGAGAGAGAAGAAAUUGGUGAGAGGUUUUCUUUCUCUAUUUGAUUUUAUUACAUUUUCCUUAUUUUUCUUAAUACUAUACCUUGUAAAAUGCCAAAUUUAUCCUUAUAUUUGACGGGUAUUUGGAUGGAAAUUUCCAAAAAUUAAUGGUGAAUGGUAAAUUUUAGUAUGAGGGCUAAAUUGGCAUGCAAAAAAUUUCAGGGUGGAGAUUUCGACAAGCGUGAUAGCUCAGGAAGGUAUUCGGUAGUUUACCUUUUAUUUUUAUAUUACUCAAUUUACUUAAGUUUACAAAGUAAAUAAGGAAGUAUCUCCCUCUCCCCCUCCCCAAUUUGGAUUCAAAUAAAAAUACUAGGCUUUAGUGCAAAAUACGAUUUUAGGCUAAAAAUGAUGGCUCAUUAAGUCAAUAUAUACUUCAUACUAAAUUCCCAUAAAAUUAAGUUUUCUUAUUUGAUGUGUAAGGAAUAAAAGC